GGGGGCGAUCUUGGUUUCGACAGGGGUUGCAAAGCAGAAGAGGGCAUACCGGGGUCUCAGAUGCCCGUAAAACACUGAAUACAUAUAGUCGCAAACGACGAAACUUACGCUCUAGCCGCUUAAGGCUAGACGUUGCAGCGGUUGGCCAAUGGGCCGUGUGAAGUCAAAUUCACAGCAACGUUAUUCUACAUUGGCUGGUUCUGCGCUGGGUUACUUAGCGUAGAAUAAGACUUAAGGUAACUGGUUCAAACCAAGCCUGUCUUGUUGGCGUGUUUUGGACGAGAAGCAGUAAAUGAAUAAGACUAAGUAUGUAGAACUCUCUGUAGAGGACUUUUGGACGCGGGUUCGAUCCCCGCCGCCUCCACCA
rnacentral:tmRNA from 1 species